rnacentral:rRNA from 1 species
UACGUAGGGUGCAAGCGUUGUCCGGAAUCAUUGGGCGUAAAGCGCGUGUAGGCGGCUUGGUAAGUCCGUUCUGAAAGCCCGGGGCUCAACCCCGGGAGGCGGAUGGAUACUGUCAAGCUCGAGUCCGGAAGAGGCAAGUGGAAUUCCCGGUGUAGCGGUGAAAUGCGCAGAUAUCGGGAGGAACUCCAAUGGCGAAGGCAGCUUGCUGGGACGGUACUGACGCUGAGACGCGAAAGCGUGGGGAGCAAACAGG